CUCGGAACAAUCGCAUCGACGAGGAACGCGGCGAGCGGCGAGAGCAGGUAGUGGUACAGCAGCGAGUGGUCGGUUCCUCGAUAGCUGU
rnacentral:rRNA from 18 species